CUCAUACAUGGCCCACUCGGUGGUGACCAAGGUAGUAUCAGCAGCUUCUAUGACUGCUUCCCACACCAGCAUUAGCAAUUGUUCAUCCGUCAGUGUAUUCUCAGCCAGCAGGAAGUCCACGUACGACAUCCUACUCUGCAUUACGUUGGGGUUUUACUGAUUUAAGAACUGAAGAACAAUAAUCUUUCUGUUCUCACCCAAGUAAAAAAAAAAUUAAACUGUGCCUUUUUGUUUGAUUUGUAGGUACCUCUCCACGUGCGAUCCUUUCCUUUUGCUGAUUGAUCAGGGCUUGCAUAAGUGCAGUUCUCCUGGCUUCCGUAGUCAAUACUCUUGUUUCAAAGCUCCUGUUUGGGAUCCAGC
rnacentral:lncRNA from 1 species